GCUUGCUGAAGCUCUUUGUUAUGCGUAUCGUUAGUUUUCGUGUAAAGAAAAUUGAGUUUUCCCCUAAUGUGCGAACGUAGUCCACCUUGCACCUUCAAUUUCUGAUCGUGGAUUAAUAUUGACAUUACGUUUCCCCUUGUACAGACCAGCCCGUGUGAGCUUUUAAUAAGCACGAAUCGAAACGAGAAAACAAACACCAAGGUAUAGUUCGGAUUGACAAAUACGUUGGAUAAUAGUCACGAUGCUGGCCAUGGUUCUCCUUACCGCAUCUCUCGCUGUGGCUGGAGCCCACGGACUUUCAGCAGCGCAUCUCGUGCUCCCGUCCCUCGCCAGGCUGGGCAACGAGGUGAAAAUGGCCUGCACUUUCGAACUCGACGAAGGCGAAGUCGUCUAUUCUAUUAAGUGGUUCAAAGAUGAACAGCUGUUUCUCACGGUAACACCUGGCGACCAACCUCCGCUCAAAGUCGUGGAGCUUCCAGGAAUCUUUGUUGAUCGUAAAGGCACCGCAUACAAUAAACUCGUCCUAGGUCGAGUCGAGUUCGAAACGGCCGGCACGUACCGAUGUUUAGUUAGUCUUGAUGGACCAUCGUUUGCCACAGCACGUUCCACAAAGGUGCUGAAAGUGGUUAAGGAACGAUAAACAGCUGUUGGGCAGCAGUAAGGAACGGUCUACAUCUUCGCUACUCAUAUUCAGGUGUCUCACGUCUGUUGUCUCGUUGAAAUGCACACGUCUCCUUACCAUACUUCUUUACCACCUCGCUUUGCCAGCAAUAGGCAAAGGGACACCGUAGUCAAGUCCGGCAACGUUCGAGCGGUGACUGACAGCGUCUAACGAACAUACAUAGCCAAUGAAACCAUUCGUAUGAGCACUGAUAGUGGUAGUUGUUGAUUGAUGGCUGGUGUCCUCAUCGCGACCGUUCGGCCUUGCCCAGAAGCAUACCCUAGGAGGACAUCGUACCUUCAACUGGAACUAUUAUAAUUCGAGAAAAAGUGAUCUAAUCGGGGAAUACCAUGUUGCUGCCGUCAAUUAACCCCAAUCAAGUCCAAUCGAAACGAGACAAUAAGAAGAGUACAGCCGAGCCGGUACAACGUAAUUACGACGUCGACGUCGUCGUCGUCAUCGUUAUCCAGACGCGCAAAAAAUAUAGGAUGAGAUGUCUGAGGCAGAGCGAGACAUGUUUUUCUUCUUAGUGAUUAUGUUUUUGUUUUUUUUUUUCACUGCGAACUCAUAAUAGCUGAUCUAGGACUGGUCUCUAUACAGCUUGAUUCUAUUUGUCCCGAGAAAAAAGCCAAAAAAUAGAGGCGCAUGCCACGUACCAACGUAUACUUUCGGAUGUGUAAACAGGCCGUGUUUGUCUAUCACAUGUUCUCGUAAAAUCUAAAUAGAUCUUCUUAUGUGUGUUAUAGAAUAACAUAUACUACACAAAGGAAGCAAUUUAUUAAUCGGUAUUAUGAACGAUACAAUUUAUUUCCGAUUCUGUGUUUAGUCUGGCGUAUCUGCGCGGUAUGAUUCUCGCAGGAUUUUACUGGCUAUUUUAUAUUAUAUCUAUAUAUAUUAUGAUUGUCUUAGAAUCAUUUUACGACAGAAACUUUGCUAU